rnacentral:rRNA from 1 species
UACGGUAGGGGGCAAGCGUUGUCCGGAAUCAUUGGGCGUAAAGAGCGUGUAGGCGGCCCGAUAAGUCCGCUGUGAAAGUCCAGGGCUCAACCCUGGGAUGCCGGUGGAUACUGUCGGGCUCGAGUCCGGAAGAGGAGUGUGGAAUUCCUGGUGUAGCGGUGAAAUGCGCAGAUAUCAGGAGGAACACCGAUGGCGAAGGCAGUGAUCUGGGCCAGUACUGACGCUGAGGAGCGAAAGCGUGGGUAGCAAACAGG